GGUGAAGAUGGGAAUCCUCCAAGGUAGGGUGCCCGGACUGAUGCAGCCACAACUGGAGGAAAUAGACACUGCAAGGAUUCAGUGUAGUGUCUGGAGCUGAGGGAUCUGGAUGUGGAUCAACUUGCAAAGGGAUCCUGUAGACAGGCAUGACAGAAAGUGGACAAGAGGACCACCCUGACCCCAGAGACAUGAGGGCCUGUGGUUCACCUUGGAGUAUCAGAAAAUAUGUGACCAUUGGCAGCUGGUUUGUGCAGAAUCCCUGGUUACGCUGAGCCUCGAGGACUGUGACUGUCUUAUGUACCUGUUGCCCGUGGGGCCUGGAAAAGGAAAAAAAUCAUGGGGGUGUUAGAAUAGAAGCAAGACAAUGCAUGCCACAUGCCACACGCUACAUGCCACAUGCCACACGCCACAUGUCACAGCUCCAUUGUUUUUGAAGCUAUUGUUUUCCUUUCUUAGCUUUGAGCCUGUCUAAUGUAUUAAACUUUUUUUUUUUCUCCCACAUGCAAGCCAUCAAGUUUCCUGUCCUCAGUGAGCUUGGAGUUAGUAAACCAAUUCUGAAGGAGAGGUAGGCAUGCUGACACUGUAGGCCUGACUUUGUCAUCUCUUCUGUUUCUGAAUGAGCAUUUCUAUGUACAUGAAAGACUGUAAUGGGUGGCAAUUUCGGGAAGCCAGGAGCCACAAAUAGGGUUCACUUUCAGCCUCAUGCACUAAUUCAACAAAUGUUGGUUGUGCCUCCAUGUAACAGGUGUUUCUGCUGGUGAGUCUUACUGUGAGCCAGUGUGGGACAGGAAAAGGACCUAGAGUUUUACUCUGAGAUGGGGAAAAUCACAACCUUGCCCGGCAUUCACCCGUUUCCUCUUCAGACAAGCAAGUCCCUUACAUCUUCUCCAUUUCCCUGGCCACCGUAUCACACUCAGUAGUGAUUCUCACAGGUGUGAAUUUCUGAGACUCAGGACAACCAUCCACUAUUUUCUAACUCUGGGAAUUCUGUGAAAACCAC
rnacentral:lncRNA from 1 species